rnacentral:rRNA from 1 species
UGCCUAACACAUGCAAGUGGAGCGACGAACCGGGCUUCGGCCCGGGGCAAAGCCGCGAACGGGUGAGUAACACGUGGGUAACCUGCCCUGAUGAUUGGGACAACCCGAGGAAACUCGGGCUAAUACCAAAUGUGCCCUCCGAACCAUAAGGUCGCUGGGGAAAGGAAGCUUCGGCCUCCGCAUCGGGAUGGGCCCGCGGCCCAUUAGCUUGUUGGUGAGGUAACGGCUCACCAAGGCGACGAUGGGUAGCUGGUCUGAGAGGACGAUCAGCCACACUGGGACUGAGACACGGCCCAGACUCCUACGGGAGGCAGCAGUGGGGAAUCUUGCGCAAUGCGCGAAAGCGUGACGCAGCAACGCCGCGUGGGGGAAGAAGGCCUUCGGGUUGUAAACCCCUUUCAGUUGGGACGAAGCUUCGUCGGUGAAUAGCCGACUGGAGUGACGGUACCUUCAGAAGAAGCCCCGGCUAACUACGUGCCAGCAGCCGCGGUAAU